UACGAAGGGGGCUAGCGUUGCUCGGAAUUACUGGGCGUAAAGGGCGCGUAGGCGGAUAGUUUAGUCAGAGGUGAAAGCCCAGGGCUCAACCUUGGAAUUGCCUUUGAUACUGGAUAUCUUGAGUUCGGGAGAGGUGAGUGGAAUGCCGAGUGUAGAGGUGAAAUUCGUAGAUAUUCGGCGGAACACCAGUGGCGAAGGCGACUCACUGGCCCGAUACUGACGCUGAGGCGCGAAAGCGUGGGGAGCAAACAGG
rnacentral:rRNA from 1 species